UACGAAGGGGGCUAGCGUUGCUCGGAAUCACUGGGCGUAAAGCGCACGUAGGCGGAUUGCUAAGUCAGGGGUGAAAUCCUGGAGCUCAACUCCAGAACUGCCUUUGAUACUGGCGAUCUUGAGUCCGGGAGAGGUGAGUGGAACUGCGAGUGUAGAGGUGAAAUUCGUAGAUAUUAGGAAGAACACCGGUGGCGAAGGCGGCCCACUGGUCCGGUACUGACGCUGAGGUGCGAAAGCGUGGGGAGCAAACAGG
rnacentral:rRNA from 1 species